CUUUACUAUAGCGUGUCAUUGAAAUUAUGUUAAUACUGUUUAGUAUAGGUGGGAGACUUUGAUACUACAUCGCUAGGUGUAGUGGAGUCGAAAUGUGAAAUACCACUCUGUAGUGGUGUGAUUUCUAACUUGAUUCUAACCUAAUCAAGGACAGUGGCUCGUGGGUAGUUUAACUGGGGCGGUUGCCUCCUAAAUGGUAACGGAGGCGUUUAUUAAGGUAUGCUAGACGCGGAUGGAAAUCGCGUUGAUAGUGCAAACGCAUAAGCAUGCUUAACUGCAAGACUGGCGAGUCGCGCAGAGACGAAAGUCGAAGUUAGUGAUCCGAUGCGUUCGAGUGGAAGACGCAAAGCCCAACGGAUAAAAGUUA
rnacentral:rRNA from 1 species